rnacentral:rRNA from 1 species
AUGGGGUGCAGCAGGCGCGAAAACUUUACAAUGCGGGAAACCGCGAUAAGGGGACACUGAGUGCCAGCAUACUAUGUUGGCUGUCCGCAUGUGUAAAAAGCAUGUGUUAGCAAGGGCUGGGCAAGACCGGUGCCAGCCGCCGCGGUAACACCGGCAGCCCGAGUGGUGAUCACUAUUAUUGGGUCUAAAGGGUCCGUAGCCGGUUUGAUCAGUCUUUUGGGAAAUCUGACAGCUUAACUGUUAGGCUUCCAAAGGAUACUGUCAGACUUGGGACCGGGAGAGGUAAGAGGUACUACAGGGGUAGGAGUGAAAUCUUGUAAUCCCUGUGGGACCACCAGUGGCGAAGGCGUCUUACCAGAACGGGUCCGACGGUGAGGGACGAAAGCUGGGGGCACGAGCCGGAUUAGAUACCCGGGUAGUCCCAGCCGUAAACGAUGCUCGCUAGGUGUCAGGAAUGGUGCGACCGUUUCUGGUGCCGCAGGGAAGCCGUGAAGCGAGCCACCUGGGAAGUACGGCCGCAAGGCUGAAACUUAAAGGAAUUGGCGGGGGAGCAC